CACGUAGGGUGCGAGCGUUGUCCGGAAUUAUUGGGCGUAAAGAGCUCGUAGGCGGUGUGUCGCGUCGGCCGUGAAAACCUGCAGCUUAACUGUGGGCUUGCGGUCGAUACGGGCAUCACUGGAGUUCGGCAGGGGAGACUGGAAUUCCUGGUGUAGCGGUGAAAUGCGCAGAUAUCAGGAGGAACACCGGUGGCGAAGGCGGGUCUCUGGGCCGACACUGACGCUGAAGCGCGAAAGCUAGGGGAGCGAACGGG
rnacentral:rRNA from 1 species